rnacentral:sRNA from 1 species
UUUGUAUAAGUGGCGAAAUGUUGAUUGAUAAUUUGGACUAAACGCAAAAUGAAUCAUAGAUUAUUUCAUGACUGUUAGUAACAAUCGUAAAAGGAAAAGCGAGUGUUUUGGUUAGCUAAGUUUAGUAAUUCAACGAUAACCAAUCAGCCACUAACAAAUAUUUCAUGCAAUACUCACUUUGAAAUACAACAAACUUUGGAGGUCAUAACGAUGAGUAACAAAAAUAAAUCAUAUGAUUAUGUCAUCAUUG